UACGUAGGCAGCGAGCGUUGUUCGGAGUUAUUGGGCGUAAAGCGCGUGUAGGCGGCUUUGCAAGUCGGGUGUGAAAGCCCUCAGCUCAACUGAGGAAGUGCGCCCGAAACUGCAGAGCCUGAGUACCGGAGAGGAUGGCGGAAUUCCCGAAGUAGAGGUGAAAUUCGUAGAUAUCGGGAGGAACACCGGUGGCGAAGGCGGCCAUCUGGACGGAUACUGACGCUGAGACGCGAAAGCGUGGGGAGCAAACAGG
rnacentral:rRNA from 1 species